AUUUAAAAAAAGGGUUUUUAAAAAAAACCCCUUUUGGGUUUUUUUUUAAAUUUUUAAAAAUUUUUAAAUUUUUUAAAUUUUUUUUUUAAAAAGCCCGGGGGGUUUUUUUUUUUUAAAAUUUUUUUUUUUUUUAAAAGGGGGGGGUUUUUUUUUUAAAAACCCCCUUUUUAAAAAAAAGGGGGGGUUUUGGGGGAAACCCCCCCCCAAAAACCCGGGGGGGGGUUUGGGGGCCCCGGUUUUUGGGCCCCCCCCAAAAACCCCCCCCCCAAGGGGGGGCCCCCCGGGGGGGGUUCCCC